CGAUUCCGGCAUUAACGACCAUGAGCGACGAAAUGUGGCAGCAGCUCCUUUCAGGACAACUUCACAGUUUGAAGAUGCUUACCCUUCAAGAUUUUCCAGUUUCUGAGAAUGAGCUUCCAUCAUUAAUGGAGACGGUUUCUACCGAAAAUGCAAGGAGGCUCGAGAUUGUCC